AUACUUACCUGCAAGAGAGAUACCGUGAUCAAAGAAGGUGGGUUCAACCAGGGAGUGGCUUAGCCAUUGCACUCCGCGGCUGUGCUGACGCCUGCUGAUUUCCCAAAAUGUGGAAAUCUCGAAUGCAUAAUUUAUGCAGUGGGGGACUGCGUCCCGCGCUCUUCCCCU